rnacentral:rRNA from 1 species
UACGGAAGGCAGCAGUGGGGAAUAUUGCACAAUGGGCGCAAGCCUGAUGCAGCCAUGCCGCGUGUAUGAAGAAGGCCUUCGGGUUGUAAAGUACUUUCAGUCGUGAGGAAGGUGUUAAGGUUAAUAACCUUAGCAAUUGACGUUAGCGACAGAAGAAGCACCGGCUAACUCCGUGCCAGCAGCCGCGGUAAUACGGAGGGUGCGAGCGUUAAUCGGAAUUACUGGGUGUAAAGGGCACGCAGGCGGUUAAUUAAGUUGGAUGUGAAAUCCCCGGGCUUAACCUGGGAAUGGCAUUCAAGACUGGUUAGCUAGAGUCUUGUAGAGGGGGUAGAAUUCCAUGUGUAGCGGUGAAAUGCGUAGAGAUGUGGAGGAAUACCGGUGGCGAAGGCGGCCCCUGGGACAAAGACUGACGCUCAUGUGCGAAAGCGUGGGGAGCAAACGAGGAUUAGAUACC